UUCAAUAGUUGGUCUUUCAAUAGCCGAAUAUCUAAAUCUAGUUGGAUCUCUGUAAGCAUCUCUUAGAUCGGUAAUAGCUGGUUUGAUAGGAGCACCAAUAGGAGAAUCAACAGCUGCCAUAAGUGUUCUAUAAUGAGCUAUAGUUUCACAGGUACUGUUCAACAAAGUCGUCGUGAGAUUUGCCAUUUCAUGAUUAACUGCAAUCAAUUCACCUUGAAGUCUUCGUUCUUUAUUGGCCAACUGAACGUAUCUUGAGAGAUUUAGAAAAAAGAAAAAUCGAGUUAGAUGUGUCUAUGAAGAUAUAAUCGGAUACCGGUAUCCAUAGGAGGUUGUGCAGGUUUAGCAAGAAGUGGUUUAGGAUUAGGCCAUAUAAAAUCUUUCUGAGUAAUCGUUGUGAAAGUAUCCAUGAUGAUAUUUGCCAUUUUUCAUAAAGGAAAUUUAAUUGAAUCUCGAUUAGGGAAAGUUACAGAAAAAUUCACAAAGAAUUUUGGGUCCUAAAAUUUGUUGAAUCGUUUUAUGACAAUGAUCUGUCAGUAGUAUGUGAUUUUUCGGGUAAAUUAGAGCGCAUGAUCGUUUGAAAAAACCAUAUUGUAGUAUCCUUCAUCAUGAUAAUGCUGGCAAGCGUGAUUUUGUAUAAAAUAUAAUAUAGGAUUGCAUUUAAAAGAAUUUGGAUGAUAUUCGUUGUAUUUGAAUCGGUUAUUAUGUCGAAAUUCAUCAUUCUCUUUACUGUUAAUUUAAAUAUAUUUUUUUUUUCUAAUUAAAGAUAAUUAGUGCUAUCUACCACUAUUGUAUGUAUAUAUACAUAUAUAUGUUUGAAGUUAUCGGGUAUUUAAUUUUAAGAAAGAGUAGGGAGGAAGUAGUUAUGUAUUUAUUGAUUCGUUAAUUAAAAUGUUUUAGAAUAUUUUUUUUUAUAAUGUUAGAAAUAGCAUAGAAUAAUUCUUGCAUAUAGAUAUUUCAUAAUAAUAAGUAAUUAGGUACACUGUAUAUUAGAUAUUAUAUUAAUACAUUAAUUAUCUUUUAAUAUUAAUUAUAGAACAUAGAAUAAUUUUUGAAGAUAUAAAUUUUAUAGUCAAGGUAGGGGUGCACUGCUAGAUAGAUUUUAGUUCAAUGCAUCUACUGAUUAAUAAAUUAAUUGUUGAUAGGAUUAUAAAUUCCUUUUAUUAAUAUUAGAAAUAGCAUAGAAUAAUUUUAAAAUAUAAAAAUUUCAUAAUAAAAUAGGUAAUAUCACGUAAUACUUUUGAAUUGAUUUUAUUUUCACAUAUAUUUAUUGAUUGAUAAGUUAUCAAUGUCAUUAUACUUAAUUUAUUUUUUCUAAUAAUAGGGAAAUGGUAUAUCAUAAUUUUUCAACAUAGAAAUAAUAUAUAAUAAUAGUCAAUGCACGAAUGAGAUAUCAAAUGGAAGUUGUCGACGUGUCGCUGUAUUUACGUAAAGCUUGAACAUUUCCUGGAUUACGAAGAUCAUGUUCUUUUCCAAUCUCACGAUCAACAUCAAUAGAAUUUAAUUCAUAAUUUCUUGAUUCUAUUCCAACACGCUUCUUCUUAGAUUUUUGCGAGUAUUGUUCCAAUUUGUUUGGAUCGACUGACGAGCAAAGAUGUUCUUGCGGAUUGGUAGACGUUAACUUUAGAAGUACCUGAUCCUGCGACUGAUUGCACGUCUUCUUCUGAACUCGACCUGUCGUCGUGGUGAAAAUAGGUCUUGUCGUUUCUUGAAUGCAUCCGCAAUCCAGACGGGUGAUCGUCGUCAUCGUGCCACACGGUUCCAGACUCUAAAAUUAAACGCGGAAUUUCGAAGGGAACUCUAUCAGAGGGAUAUAUGUCUGAGCUAGGAAUUGAAAUUAAUAAACAGUAUAUUCGUUUCGAAUCAAUUAUUUUUAAGAUUGUAUCUAAAUAUACAUCUAUAUCAGGAGAGACUCACUUUUUAAUUGUUGAAUU